GCGAAGGCAGCUCGCUACACUAUUAUUGACGCUGAGGCACGAAAGCGUGGGGAUCAAACAGGAUUAGAUACCCUGGUAGUCCACGCCCUAAACGAUGAUUACUCGACAUCAGCGAUGCACUGUUGGUGUCUGAGCGAAAGCAUUAAGUAAUCCACCUGGGAAGUACGACCGCAAGAUUAAAACUCAAAGAAAUUGACGGGGGCCUGCACAAGCGGUGGAACAUGUGGUUUAAUUCGAGGCAACGCGAAGAACCUUACCAGGCUUUGACAUGCCCUCUGUGGGUACCAGAAAUGGAACCCUUCACUUCGGGUGGGAGGAGCACAGGUGCUGCAUGGCUGUCGUCAGCUCGUGUCGUGAGAUGUUGGGUUAAGUCCCGCAACGAGCGCAACCCUCGUCCCCUGUUGCUAACGGGUAAUGCCGAGAACUCUGGGGAAACUGCCGGUGAUAAGCCGGAGGAAGGUGGGGAUGACGUCAAGUCCUCAUGGCCCUUACAGCCUGGGCUACACACGUGUUACAAUGGCAGUGACAAUGCGUCGCUACUCCGCAAGGAGAGGCUAAUCGCAAAAAGCUGCCUCAGUUCGGAUUGUACUCUGCAACUCGAGUACAUGAAGCUGGAAUCGCUAGUAAUCGCGCAUCAUCGCGGCGCGGUGAAUACGUUCCCGGGUCGUGUACACACCGCCCGU
rnacentral:rRNA from 1 species